rnacentral:rRNA from 1 species
CACAUGCAGUCGAGCGGAGAUGAGGUGCUUGCACCUCUUAAUCUUAGCGGCGGACGGGUGAGUAAUGCUUAGGAAUCUGCCUAUUAGUGGGGGACAACAUUUCGAAAGGAAUGCUAAUACCGCAUACGCCCUACGGGGGAAAGCAGGGGAUCUUCGGACCUUGCGCUAAUAGAUGAGCCUAAGUCGGAUUAGCUAGUUGGUGGGGUAAAGGCCUACCAAGGCGACGAUCUGUAGCGGGUCUGAGAGGAUGAUCCGCCACACUGGGACUGAGACACGGCCCAGACUCCUACGGGAGGCAGCAGUGGGGAAUAUUGGACAAUGGGGGGAACCCUGAUCCAGCCAUGCCGCGUGUGUGAAGAAGGCCUUUUGGUUGUAAAGCACUUUAAGCGAGGAGGAGGAGCUCUAGAUUAAUACUCUAGAUGCUUGGACGUUACUCGCAGAAUAAGCACCGGCUAACUCUGUGCCAGCAGCCGCGGUAAUACAGAGGGUGCAAGCGUUAAUCGGAUUUACUGGGCGUAAAGCGUGCGUAGGUGGUCUUUUAAGUCGGAUGUGAAUCCCUGAGCUUAACUUAGGAAUUGCAUUCGAUACUGGGAGACUAGAGUAUGGGAGAGGAUGGUAGAAUUCCAGGUGUAGCGGUGAAAUGCGUAGAGAUCUGGAGGAAUACCGA